CUGACAGAGCAAUAUUUUUCUGGAUGGAGAUUGUUCUCCCCUUGAGCUGUCGCUGGAAGGGGUCAUUGGAAGGGGAAAACAACAACCCUGAUGGAAACUAAUGACUGUAUCUUUUCCAUUUCCCAUGAAAGCAAGAAGUAAGCGAUAAAGCUGUUUUUUGAAAGGAUAUAGAGAUGAAGUAGCGAGAGGAAGCCGGUAAUAAAGUUCAGGACACAGUGUUGGUUCUUGACCGACAGUGGGGGAUCAGUGCCCGUGAAGAUGUGCAGACAAGGCAUGUUUCAGACUCCCAGAAGCUGUUUGUUUGCCAUACUGUGAGGAAGCAGGUGUGGGCCAGCACCACUGCACGCUCCUGUUGCACUAUGAGGACAUGGUUUAGGACCAGACCGAGUUGCCCCAAGAUCAAUUCCUUCCCGUGACUGUCAGGUAUGACCUGACCAUACCUCUCCAUGGGACAGUGCAUAUCUGGACAAAGAAGAAAAAGUUGGUAACGCUUAUGAUACAACGCUAAGAUAUGGCAGUGUUGGACACAAGACACUAUGCAGACCAAGGAUGGUGCUCUACAGUGAUGCAGGUGCUUUUCUGCCACAUGUACAUUGAAACAAGUCUGACAGCAAUGGGGAGCCCAUAGCUCUUUUUACCCAGCCUGAUAAAUCUCUCAUUAACAUGACAAAAACAAAUGGCAUAUUUCUAUCCUAAAUUAAACUGGCAAGUUUAAAGCCUCUGCAAUAAAGGCUGUUCGUUAUCUUUGGAUUAAGCUUGCUGCCAAAUAUACAUGUAAAACAACAGCUAUUAUGUUACUCUUAUAGACAUCUAAGCUGUCAAUAAGAGUAUCUGUAGUAUCUGUUUUCUCGCUUACGAAUGCCUGUCAGAUAUGGCAUGAAGUGAAUAUGGCAAAGCAGAGUGCUAAGGUAACUUUUAAUAACAAGUGCCAUGACAAUUAUAGCUGCAAGACCGGACCUUGAUUUGACAUUUUGGAGAGUGUGAUCUUUCUUUUCUUACUUCCCUUCCCAAAUGUUUCAUCCCUUGCUUAGCUGUAAGGCAGAGAGAAGCUUUGAAAAUGGGUCUUACACCAUCUGCUCACUGAAAAACCAAAUAAAGGAAAUAUGCCAC
ensembl:lncRNA